rnacentral:rRNA from 1 species
GCCACGCUGAUGCGAUUUCGGUCAAUCGUGUGGCAUUCGAGUGGCGGACGGGUGAGUAACGCGUGGGUAACCUGCCUUACACAGGGGGAUAACACCUGGAAACAGGUGCUAAUACCGCAUAAGCGCACAGGGCCGCAUGGCCCGGUGUGAAAAACUCCGGUGGUGUAAGAUGGACCCGCGUCUGAUUAGCUUGUUGGCGGGGUAGGGGCCCACCAAGGCGACGAUCAGUAGCCGGCCUGAGAGGGUGGACGGCCACAUUGGGACUGAGACACGGCCCAAACUCCUACGGGAGGCAGCAGUGGGGGAUAUUGGACAAUGGGGGAAACCCUGAUCCAGCGACGCCGCGUGAGUGAAGAAGUAUUUCGGUAUGUAAAGCUCUGUCAGCAGGGAAGAAAGAAAUGACGGUACCUGACCAAGAAGCCCCGGCUAACUACGUGCCAGCAGCCGCGGUAAUACGUAGGGGGCAAGCGUUAUCCGGAAUUACUGGGUGUAAAGGGAGCGUAGACGGUGAUGCAAGUCUGGAGUGAAAGGCGGGGGCCCAACCCCCGGACUGCUCUGGAAACUGUGUAACUUGAGUGCAGGAGAGGUAAGCGGAAUUCCUAGUGUAGCGGUGAAAUGCGUAGAUAUUAGGAGGAACACCAGUGGCGAAGGCGGCUUACUGGACUGUAACUGACGUUGAGGCUCGAAAGCGUGGGGAGCAAACAGGAUUAGAUACCCUGGUAGUCCACGCCGUAAACGAUGAUUACUAGGUGUCGGUGG